GACGAACGCUGGCGGCGUGCUUAACACAUGCAAGUCGAACGAAGUGGCGAACGGGUGAGUAAUACGUCGGUAACCUGCCCUCCUUUUUGGGAUAAGCCUUGGAAACGGGGUCUAUUACCGAAUAAUGGGGGUUGGGCUCGCGGCCUAUCAGCUUGUUGAUGGGGUGAUAGGGUACCAAGGCGGUGACGGGUAGCCGGCCUGAGAGGCUACACGGGAACGUGGGGACGGAGAAAAGGCCCAGGGUACUAAGGAGGGGAGCAGUGUGGGAAAUUGCAGAAAGGGCGAAAGAGUGAUGCAGCGACGCCGAGUGGGGGAUGAGGGCUUUAGGGUUGUGAAGCUCUGUAGCAAUCGAACGGGUAGGUGGACAAGAAGCGCCGGCUAACUACGUGCCAGCAGCCGCGGUAAUAC
rnacentral:rRNA from 1 species